rnacentral:rRNA from 1 species
AUGCUAUCUGACAUGGACAGUAGUCCUGGAAAAGAUGGUAAUUUGACUCCUAGUCCUAGGCUGCAUUCAGCAACCACCUCAAGCUCUGAUAUCAAAGAUCAGUGUAGUGACAAACCGUCCUCUUUGAUUAAGGAUCCUUUACAAACUGAGGUCUGCAGUGUUUGCCCAAAGGACAUCCUAAGCCGUUUAACACUUCCCCAAGGACAUGAUCUCGAUUCUCUUUUAUCAGCUGGAAGCGAGAGCUCAGCUACAGGGCCUUCCAUGACAACUCAUGGACCUAGUUUGCCACCAUUUACUUGGUCACACUCACAAGCUGGGGUUUACCGACCGAGCGUUGACUCUGGUAAACAUGGGUCAAGUAGGAGUAACUCCCAUUGGCAGUGGUUGAGAGUUGGAUCAUAUCCAACCGCUCAGGAUUAUGAAGAUUUACCUGUCCAUCAAAUUGAUGAUCUUCUUCAGGAAAUGGAUAUGGCAAAGUCGUCUAUCAUUGAUUCAUGUAGCAGACAAUCUAAUUUAUGCUGCACGGAAUCAACUUCCGGAUCCCUCGGACAAACUAUUUACUCAAGAAAAACUGAAAGCGAGCAUGGUCCGCAGCAACUGCAUCCACUAGACCAUGUGGGCUCCUCAGAUAGCUUCCAGAGGAAUGACAGUGAACGUUCUCUUCUGAAAGCACGUCAAGCAUCACGGAAGAUAUUGUGCGCAGCUGAGACCCUAUGUGAUAUGAGAAGAAGCACGGAAGGGUGGAGUCCCCAAGUAUAUAGCAAUGGGACAAUAAAUUUGCCAAAGUCACCUCCUGAUAAGCUGAAAGCCCGUAAGCCGUCAUCACCGUUUGGUACAGCUGAGAGCUCCUCGGGCUCUCGGAAUAGUGAUCCAGCUCGCAGCGGAAACCAUUCUACCAAGAAAGUGGUCGAUAGGAAGAACGAUUCUGCUGCGUGCAUGAGCAACCCAGGGAAAGGGCUUAUUAGGUGGCCUGUUCCUAUUGAAGAUGCUGUAUCUCCUGUCAAACCCGAGAAGGGCCUUAUGCUUGAUAUGAGACAAAACCACAGCAAUGCCGCAAGGCAUCCGAUUCAUGUAUCGUCCCAGGCACGGCUUGAGAAGGAAUACGAAAACCAGCAGAAGCUGAGGAAAGCAACAUUGGCCUCGUCUCUAGGAUCGGGAGACUGGAAUAAGGAGAGGAACAGGAGAUUGUGA